UCCAGGGUAGCCUAGUGGACAUGGCAUCUGCCCGGUAAGCGGAACAUUGUGGGUUCGUUCCCCAUCCCCCUGGAC
rnacentral:tRNA from 1 species